rnacentral:rRNA from 1 species
UACGUAGGGUGCAAGCGUUGUCCGGAAUUAUUGGGCGUAAAGAGCUCGUAGGUGGUUUGUUACGUCUGCUGUGAAAACCUAGGGCUUAACCCUGGGCUUGCAGUGGAUACGGGCAGACUAGAGGUAGGUAGGGGAGAAUGGAAUUCCUGGUGUAGCGGUGAAAUGCGCAGAUAUCAGGAGGAACACCGGUGGCGAAGGCGGUUCUCUGGGCAACAACUGACGCUGGAGGAGCGAAAGCGUGGGGAGCGAACAGG